UGCUAUCGGUGCCAGGCCAAUGAUAAUUGUGAGAAUGAUAGUUUUGUUCAAACAUCGCUAGUGCAAGUCUUAGAUUUGCAUAACCAAUCUUUUGUCCAAUUUGUUAAAUUUAAGACAUCAUUUCCAUCAUCAUGCGAGAAGACAGUGUUACCCAAACAACAAAAUUCCUGUCUUUAGACAAGUGCUUACCAAAGAGAAAGUUUUGUUCAGGAAAGGAAAAAAGAAACUAGCUGCCACCUAAAUAAUCAAUGGAUCCAAGGAAGGGGGACUAGGGGACCAUCUUCAGAUGGUGCAUGCGGUCGCGGUACAGGAUCACUAUGGCAACCU